UCUGGGCUCUACCCCGUGCAUCUAACAGUGACACUCAGAAGACUGUCUUUUGCAAAGACGCUUCUCUUGGCAGGUUUCAGGGAUGCCGGUGGAUCUGGAGCCUGGGAAGACAAGCACUCUGGCCAUGCUCUGGGAGACAGCUGUCCCCAAUUACGGAGGGGAGUUCUCACUGCUAGCUCUGGAGCCAGGAGACCACUCGACUGGCAUUUCAGGGGCCUGGAUGGGGCUCCUUCUCCAUAGAAACUCCUGCUCUGUUGGAGGCCUCAGAAAACGACAGGCUCAUCAAUGCAGCAGAGAAGGCUAAGCAUCCAGAUCUCCCUCCCAGCUGGCUUAUGGACUCAGGAUUUCCUACCCAAUUGAGAAGACACCGAGGGGCAGUAGCAAUCUGGGCACGAGCUCAGUCCCAUCUUCUCUAAUUGUGACCUGAUGUUCUCCAAUCCUUCCACUUCCAGGGAAAGGGGCAAAAGAGGGCUGCUGA